rnacentral:rRNA from 1 species
UACGUAGGGGGCGAGCGUUGUCCGGAUUUAUUGGGCGUAAAGAGCGUGUAGGCGGCCAUGUAGGUCCGUUGUGAAAACUCGAGGCUCAACCUCGAGACGCCGAUGGAAACCAUGUGGCUAGAGUCCGGAAGAGGAGAGUGGAAUUCCUGGUGUAGCGGUGAAAUGCGCAGAUAUCAGGAGGAACACCCGUGGCGAAAGCGGCUCUCUGGGACGGUACUGACGCUGAGACGCGAAAGCGUGGGGAGCAAACAGG